GACGAACGCUGGCGGCGUGCCUAACACAUGCAAGUCGAGCGAAAAGACCCUGCGCUUGUGGGGUGGUCGUGAGGGGCAGGGGGGAGAGAAACGCGUGUAAAACCUACCUGUAUUUGGGGGAAAAUUUGGGAAAACGGGAGAAAAUACGGGAGAAGAUACUGAAGCGCGGGGGGGGAUAGAAAAAGUCGGCGGUUGGGGAUGGACUAGCGGCUUAUGCGCCUGUUGGGGGGGUAGGGGCUUACCAAGGGUUUGAAGGGUAGCCGGCCUGGGAGGGUGACCGGCCACAUUGGGUCUGAGAUACGGCCCAGACUCCUACGGGCGGCAGCAGUGGGGAAUAUUGCACAAUGGGCGGAAGCCUGAUGCAGCAACGCCGCGUGCGGGAUGACGGCCUUCGGGUUGUAAACCGCUUUCGCCUGUGACGAAGCGUGAGUGACGGUAAUGGGUAAAGAAGCACCGGCUAACUACGUG
rnacentral:rRNA from 1 species